rnacentral:rRNA from 1 species
AACGAACGCUGGCGGCGUGCUUAACACAUGCAAGUCGAACGCGAAAGUUUUCUUCGGAAGACGAGUAGAGUGGCGCACGGGUGAGCAACGCGUAAGUUAUCUACCUCGGCAUCUGGAAUAACUCACCGAAAGGUGUGCUAAUACCGGAUACGUUGAGUAAUCAAGAAAGGUGGCCUCUGAAUAUGCUACUGUGCUGAGAUGAGCUUGCGUACCAUUAGCUAGUUGGUAGGGUAAUGGCCUACCAAGGCGACGAUGGUUAGCGGGUCUGAGAGGAUGAUCCGCCACACUGGAACUGGAACACGGACCAGACUCCUACGGGAGGCAGCAGUGAGGAAUAUUGCGCAAUGGGGGCGACCCUGACGCAGCGACGCCGCGUGGAUGAUGAAGGCCUUCGGGUCGUAAAAUCCUGUCAAGUGGAAAGAAGUGCAUGGUGGAUAAUACCCAUCAUGUUUGACGGUACCACUGAAGGAAGCACCGGCUAACUCCGUGCCAGCAGCCGCGGUAAUACGGAGGGUGCAAGCGUUGUUCGGAAUUACUGGGCGUAAAGCGCGCGUAGGCGGUUUUAUAAGUCAGAUGUGAGAGCCCAGGGCUCAACCCUGGACGUGCAUUUGAAACUGUGAGACUUGAGUAUUGGAGGGGGUGGUGGAAUUCCCGGUGUAGAGGUGAAAUUCGUAGAUAUCGGGAGGAAUACCAGUGGCGAAGGCGACCACCUGGCCAAACACUGACGCUGAGGUGCGAAAGCGUGGGGAGCAAACAGGAUUAGAUACCCUGGUAGUCCACGCCAUAAACGAUGUCAACUAGGUGUUGGGACGGUUAAUCGUCUCAUUGCCGCAGCUAACGCAUUAAGUUGACCGCCUGGGGAGUACGGUUGCAAGAUUA